AUACGUAGGGUGCGAGCGUUGUCCGGAAUUACUGGGCGUAAAGAGCUCGUAGGUGGUUUGUCGCGUCGUCUGUGAAAUUCCGGGGCUUAACUCCGGGCGUGCAGGCGAUACGGGCAUAACUUGAGUACUGUAGGGGAGACUGAAAUUCCUGGUGUAGCGGUGAAAUGCGCAGAUAUCAGGAGGAACACCGGUGGCGAAGGCGGGUCUCUGGGCAGUAACUGACGCUGAGGAGCGAAAGCAUGGGUAGCGAACAGGAUUAGAUACCCUGGUAGUCCAUGCCGUAAACGGUGGGCGCUAGGUGUAGGGGUCUUCCACGACUUCUGUGCCGUAGCUAACGCAUUAAGCGCCCCGCCUGGGGAGUACGGCCGCAAGGCUAAAACUUAAAGGAAUUGACGGGG
rnacentral:rRNA from 1 species